UGUUUAAUAAUAACCAUAAUAUCACGAAUCAUAUCAUUAAUGACCAGUAUAGCCUCCUUUUCUUUGUCUCUUGCAGGUUAAGGCCACAAUGCUGAUGUAUGUCAGCACCCCUUCAGGGAGCCUCCAGAUGACUGUUUUUUUUCUGCAUUUGAGAGAAAGCAUAUGAACCAUGGCACUUUGUGGUAGGGAGCCAAACAGAAAGGAAAAUACAAGGCCAGAUCUUGAAUCCUUUAUCAGGAGAAAAUUGUGCUGUGAGUAUUUACAUUAGUAUUACCCAGAACAGAACUUGGCCUUCAGUUUUCAGUGAAUCAGAACUCCCAAUAAAAUCAAUGAGAGAUCUGCCUGAGUAGAUAUUUCAGGAUUUGCUCCACUGAAGUCACGCCUUUAGAUAGGAUUUUUUGGGGGUUGUGAAACAUGGUGCAAAAUAAAGGCACAUUUCCCUCUUCUACUACACACACAAACAUUGCUGCCAUACCUCCUAUACAAUAGCUUUGCUAGGUGAACUUGAGCAGGGAGUGAACUGGACAGAAGGGCAAAACUGAAGAACUAGCCACUCACUACAGCUCCUUUCACUAAAUACACAGUAAACCUAUGAUAUAUUUAGCUUUGUAAAUAACUUGAUGGGGGCUGCAAUCAUUUUCUUUUUAUAAAUGUUGGAUGAGGUAUGCAUUCCUGGAGGAUGAAUGUAGAGUAGGAGGAGAUGGAUGGCUUUGGAAAGGGUCUAGGUACCAUGAAGAAGGCUAUGAGUUCAGUUAUCAAGAGAAUGCGUAAGGGAAUACUUCCUGCUAUUGACCCCAAAAUACCAUUUUUUGUAGGUGGGAACCAUAGCUCCCACAGGUCCCUUGUCUGUCAUCUUUCCAGUAUUUCUGCCUGCAUAGUGAAGCUGCCCAGAAGAAGAACCUGAGGUCACACAAACAAUUUCAAGUUUGGGCAAAAGCAGUGUAAUCUUCCAUGGUUAGUAUUGGAGAUAGUGGUCAGUUAUUCACUGGAACAUGUACUUGGAAUAAACUGAUUUUAAAGCAGUAACUGGAAAACUGUCUGAGCAACAACCCUGGGUCCCUUACAACCAGCCUGGGCAGGAUUCAUAAGUUAGAGAUAAAAAAGACUGCACAUUAACAAAGAUUGGGGUAUUUUAAUGGAUCUGAGUUUAUGCAACUCACUUCUGUAGUUUACAUUAAAAAUCCUGGAUAAACUUAUCUGUGGGAUAAAGAGGAAGCUAGAGGAAAGUGGGAACCAAUUCUGAGUUAUAUUAGCAGAGAGAAAAUAGAAAUCUUGAUGGACAGCCAGAGCCCUGAUGUGGUACAUGAAAGUCAUUUAGGGCUCCAUCCAACUCACGCUGAAGUGAAAGGAAAGAUUCCCGCUGACUACAAUGGGGGCUGGUGAAGGGCCUGAAGUACUUAAUAUGAGGAGAAAAAUAAAAAGAUAUGAGAAGGAAAUCAUAUUUUUUUCCACUUCUAAUUGUUAUCUGUGUGGGAGUUUUUUAAAAUGAUAUUUUGGUUUUUGAGAGAAUGGGGAAUAAAAAGGACACAAUUUAUGUCUUUUCUCCCCUUGAAAACCUUAUUAUACAUUAUUAAGAAAUUAAAAUGGAUAAAAGAAAAAUUUUAAAUACAAUCUUUGAAUGUUUUUGUUAUGUAGGGGAACAUGUACAUACAUCUAUCCAUCAGUCUUUGUUAUGUGUUACACACAAACAUUACAAAUAUACUUAUACAUUCUUAAAUAUUUCACAUGGGUGUCAGGAACUUGUGUCCUGUCCCCUUUGGGAUUUAAUAUAGAUACGAGGGUAUUUUUCUUUAGUUUCAUAUCUUAUAAAAAUAUUAUGUUAUCCAUUGAGGCUUGUCUGCAUCUUAUCAGGAAUUAUUCAAUCAUAAUAGACUUUAUACAUUAAACCAACUUUUCAUUUAUUCUUUCCCCCAACAUUACCAAGGAUUUCAUCUUUAUGUAGCUGACAUGCUUCUAAAUGCAAAAUCACCAUUAUAGUUGUAUUCCAUAGCUGCUUAUUUUGAUUAAGAGUUUAUGUUUAUGAAAGUCUCCUAUAAUUUUCAGAUUUCUCUACCUCAUUCUUUUCCAAAUUUCAAAAGAAUUUUUUUUGCCACGAUCUUCCAAUAUGUGGUGAGUAUUUUUUUUUAUUUUAUCCAGUCAUCCUUUGUUAAUAUAAAACAGAUGUUUGCUUUUCUAGCAUGUCUCUUUGCACCUUUCUUCUGUAGUCCUUGCUCCACAUUAUAUUUGGUAAGGCACUCUUUUAUGUUGUAUUUAUGUACA